GUCGGUUAAGUCCGCUAACGAGCCGCAACCCUCGCUGUGUGUUACAAGUGUCACACGGAACUGCCGGUCAUAAACCGGAGGAAGGUGGGGAUGACGUCAAGUCAGCAUGGCCUUUAUAUCCUGGGCUACACACACGCUACAAUGGGAAGGGACAAUAGGUUGCGAAGCCGCGAGGCGGAGCCAAUCCAGCAAAACUUCCCUCAGUUCAGAUUGCAGGCUGCAACUCGCCUGCAUGAAGUUGGAGUUGCUAGUAAACGCAGGUCAGCCAUACUGCGUUCGAAUACGUUCCCGGGCUU
rnacentral:rRNA from 1 species